GGCCGGGAGUUCUGCCGAAUACAAUACCCGCAAGGGGAAUAGGCAAAGCGGUCUCGUAGAGCCGUUGUCACCCUCCCGGUCGCCUUCUC
rnacentral:ncRNA from 19 species